rnacentral:rRNA from 1 species
UACGAGGGGUCCUAGCGUUGUUCGGAAUCACUGGGCGUAAAGCGUUUGUAGGCGGCUCUAUAAGUCGGGUGUGAAAUCCCACGGCUCAACCGUGGAAGUGCAUUCGAAACUGCAGAGCUUGAAUAUGGUAGAGGACAGUAGAAUUGCUGGUGUAGUGGUGAAAUACGUAGAUAUCAGCAGGAAUACCGGUGGCGAAGGCGACUUCCUGGCCUGUUCUUGACGCUGAGGCGCGAAAGCUAGGGUAGCAAACGGG